rfam:Prunus persica cultivar Lovell chromosome G8, whole genome shotgun sequence.
GAGCAUGUGACGAAGUACUCGGAUUCCCCUUCAAGACAUAAUGGGUGAUGUAAGUCGAGUUUCUGAUGCU